CGCACCUUGCACCUUCCAGUCCUCUGGUAAGGUAUGCCCGGUUGAGUAUUAUGAUCUACCUCAAACCUAUGAUUUUCUUAUUGCAAAGACCAAUCGCUCCGAUGAAAGCACUCUUUGGGGUGACUAGUAGUUGCUGCUUGGUUUGGAACGAUCUUAGAUCUUGGACUUUGAGCACUGUUGGUUCCCCUCUGGAUCAACUUGCUUGAAAUGUAUUUAGCUGGCAACCUGCCUUCAAUGGUUACCACUCGGCGUAGUAAGUCUUAUUCGUCGAGGACACCUUGUACCUUCACCGGAACAGGUGGCCAUUGUGCGUGUGUCCUGAUAGCCGCUUCUAAUCGUCUCUGGACAACAUAACGAACUCUUUAAUCUCAACUCGGGUAGGACUACCCGCUGAACUUAA
rnacentral:rRNA from 1 species